rnacentral:rRNA from 1 species
AAGGGGUGACGGCGUACCUUUUGUAUAAUGGGUCAGCGACUUACGUUCAGUAGCAAGCUUAACCGUAUAGGGCAGGCGUAGCGAAAGCGAGUCCGAAUAGGGCGUUCAGUUGCUGGGCGUAGACCCGAAACCAGGUGAUCUAUCCAUGGCCAGGAUGAAGGUGCGGUAACACGUACUGGAGGUCCGAACCCACUAACGUUGAAAAGUUAGGGGAUGAGCUGUGGAUAGGGGUGAAAGGCUAAACAAACCUGGAAAUAGCUGGUUCUCUCCGAAAACUAUUUAGGUAGUGCCUCGUGUCUCACCUUCGGGGGUAGAGCACUGUCAUGGUUGGGGGGUCUAUUGCAGAUUACCCCGCCAUAGCAAACUCCGAAUACCGAAGAGUGCAAUCACGGGAGACAGACAUCGGGUGCUAACGUCCGGUGUCAAGAGGGAAACAACCCAGACCGCCAGCUAAGGUCCCCAAAUAUAGCUAAGUGGGAAACGAAGUGGGAAGGCUAAAACAGUCAGGAGGUUGGCUUAGAAGCAGCCACCCUUUAAAGAAAGCGUAAUAGCUCACUGAUCGAGUCGUCCUGCGCGGAAGAUGUAACGGGGCUAAGCUAUAUACCGAAGCUGCGGAUGCGAGCUUUGCUCGCAUGGUAGGAGAGCGUUCCGUAAGCCUGCGAAGGUGCCUUGUAAAGGGUGCUGGAGGUAUCGGAAGUGCGAAUGCUGACAUGAGUAGCGAUAAAGGGGGUGAAAGGCCCCCUCGCCGUAAGCCCAAGGUUUCCUACGCAACGUUCAUCGGCGUAGGGUGAGUCGGCCCCUAAGGCGAGGCAGAAAUGCGUAGCUGAUGGGAAGCAGGUCAAUAUUCCUGCACCAUUGUUAGAUGCGAUGGGGGGACGGAUCGCGGAAGGUUGUCCGGGUGUUGGAAGUCCCGGUCGCUGCAUUGGAGAAGGCGCUUAGGCAAAUCCGGGCGCGUAAUUCAAGGGUGUGGCGCGAGCUCCUUAGGGAGCGAAGCAAUUGGAAGUGGUUCCAAGAAAAGCCUCUAAGCUUCAGUCUAA